rnacentral:lncRNA from 1 species
CUCACAGUCGAGUCAUGCCAUCGCUUACACUAUCUUUCAGACUCUAUUUCCUGUGGGAGGACUGGAUGUGAUGAGACCCCAGAGCCAGCUUUGCCUCUUGCUACCAUGCUCCUUAAAGGCCAGAGUUGUUUUCAAGUCAACUUUUGGAGACUCUGGCAUAAUAAAUGUGAUGGCUAUGCCUGCCAGAUGGAAAUUAGAACUGUUUGCCACUAACACACCUUCUCUCCUGGCUGCUGCCAAUGUAGGAAGAGAUCUGGAAAGAGAGUGAAGGGGUAAGUGACUCAGUUCAGAUACAACAAGGGACACACCUGACAAAGCCCUUCUCUAUGUGUUUUUCCAGCUACUGAAUUCUCUUUCGGAUUGACUUUUGUCAAAUAGCUGUUCUAAAUGCCUGGCCAUUUUUAUGAGCCUCUUAGAAUCACCUUUUUAUUAGUUCUUUUGUCAUGUACUCCUCUAUUUUCAUUUGUUUAAUCAUGAAGAUCUUUUCAUCCUUUCAUUUUCCUAAUCAUACCAUCAUUCAUCUAGCUAAUCAACUAUCUAUUCAUCUGUCUGUUAGGUAGAAUAGGGAAACAGAGUCCAAAAUGGCGGUGGCUAAAAGACAAGAAAGGUCAAAGGAAGGUCCGAGGACCAGAGUGAAGACUUCAGGUAGAACAAAGAGCACUCCUGGCUAAGCCCAACUUGCACAGGGCAGGCCCAGGUGGAGGAAAACUUAUAAAAGGAGGAGCCAAAUCGCACUCUCUCUCUCUCCCUCUCCUACAUGCGUGUGCUCUUUCUCUUACUCUCUCUCUCUCUCUCUCUCUCUCUCUCUCUCUCCCCCUCUCCCAUGUGCUCCUCCACUCUCUUCCCUUCAAAUCUUUGUGUUGGCAUGCCCUCACGCUUCGAGGAUGGAUUCUCCUGCUAUCUACUAAAUAAAAUAGAGCUGUAACACUGAUUUGCCUAAGAGCUAUAACACGGUUUGUCCAAGACCCGAGAGCUGUGACGCGCCGAGGACUUUAAUGUCCAUCACUCCAAAUCUUUGUUGUGACGAGACAAAGAACCGAGGAACAUACACUCGCGUGACAUCUAUGGGGCCGUGACUCGGAUGUAACCUGGCUGAAACAACCUUCGUGUGGAAGAGGCCAAGCACAGCUGGAGCCCAACUCAGCGAAGCUCCCGCGGUAGAGGUGGACGUGAGAAUCCA